UACGUAGGGGGCAAGCGUUGUCCGGAUUUAUUGGGCGUAAAGAGCGUGUAGGCGGCUUUACAGGUCCGUUGUGAAAACUCGAGGCUUAACCUCGAGACGUCGAUGGAAACCAUCUAGCUAGAGUCCGGAAGAGGAGAGUGGAAUUCCUGGUGUAGCGGUGAAAUGCGCAGAUAUCAGGAAGAACACCCGUGGCGAAGGCGGCUCUCUGGUACGUGACUGACGCUGAGACGCGAAAGCGUGGGGAGCGAACAGG
rnacentral:rRNA from 1 species